AGCAACUCUACCUCCAGAAUUUCUUCCAGUACUGGCUGAUCCAUUUCAAAUCCUUCUUUGUUUUUCCCUUUGUUCUUCUUUUCUUCAAGUAAAGGAAACAAAGGAAUAACUGGAUCUUCCAUAGGGCUAGCUUCUCUCAUCGUCACUUUAGCAAGAUCAUUUUCUAGGGUAGAAUAUUCCAGAUCCAGCCUUCUUUGCAGAUGUCCUGUUAAGGAACAGAGUCUGCUUACUUCUUCUCUAGUUUGUAGAGAAUUUCCCUCCAUGCUUUUUAUGACACCAUCAUGAUGGCCUGGAGGUCUUCAUUUGUGACCUUCCUUCCUGAUUUUUUAGAAGGAAUCGGGCUUUCCGUCAAGACAGGUCAUUAUAAGUCUUCAGGGAGAUUUGCCAUGCUAGAUCUUGGUGUAUACCGGCGUGGUUUUUGUUUUGAUUCCCACCUGAAGGUUUGUUCCUUCCUUUUUCUUCUUGGCAUAUGAUGAGUCAAUUUCAUAUUAUAUAUUUAACCCUAUUCCUAGUAUAUUUUGGUUAUUAUUUUGGAAGAAUUUUGAUACUUUGAGUUGUAUUUUCAAUAUAGGACUUUCUACUUCCUUUUGAGCAAAACAUAAUCAAAUGGACGAAUUUUGGAGUAAUUCUAGUUGGAAGAGGUUCGUGAGUCAGUUAGCUUGAUCGUAUCAAAAUGUCAGAUUUUUUUACCAAGCAAUGGUUUUCUAGCAAUAAAAUAAAGGAGUAGUGCAUGGUGUUGGAAUAAUAAUGUUUAGGGCUUGAAUUGCAUUUUUGGAGCCCAACAUGACCUCAGAUGGUUUCGUGGCCUUCUGGAGAUCUGUUCAGAACGUCCCAAUCUUCAAAAUAAGCUAUUAUGGGCCAGAUUUGGAGGAUAUCUGAGGCUAAAACGUGGCUGGACAAGUACUUGACAGAUUAUCCUAACUUAAUUAGGACUUUAUUUUCUAAGAUAUUUUAUUAUUAUUCUUAGUUUCCUAGUUGGAAUAAAGGACCUGAUUUUUAGGGAUUGUGCGAUGGCAUAGUAGGUUAUAUUGCUUUGCCAUUCUAGUUUUUUGCUAUGCUUUAUUUUAUGCAACUUUGGAGACAAAGAGAAUUGCUAGGGUUCUUGGAGAUUUUAUACUUUUAGGUGUUUUCAAUCAUUUUCUUAAUAAUAUUUUCUAUGAUUUUAAUUAUGAAUAUGCGUAACUAAUUCCUUUUGCUAGGGCUAAGCCUUGAGCCUUAGCAUGAAUAUGUGAUUUUUAUUUAAUUGCUUAUGAUUGAUUGCAUGCUUGCUUUGAAUUAUUAAUCACUGUGAUUAAAACUAUCUAAUUAUCUUAAUGCUUGAUCACCAUUAGGAUAUUUAGAAAAGUAAUUUGAUGCAAUUUUGGUCGGAAGGUUCCUUGAAAUUGGCGUUGGCUUCUUGUGAUUAAUAAUUGUAAUUUCACUUAAGAUGAACACCACGUCGUAAGGGUUGCAUGGUUUUUUAAAGGGUUUUCAUAAAGCAUAAUGAGUCUCUCAUGUUCAGAUUUGAUCCGAACUUCCGAACAGGUUGUAUGUUAGAUAUACGUUUUAUGUUGGAGGUUCCAAGUAGAAUAUAAAUUAGGAAAACCUAACCUUCAAUGUGGCAUGCGCAGAUCAUAAAUAAUUGGUAAAAGUUCAUAAGAUUGCUAGGUGAUAGUGGACCCCUAGUGCUUUCUUAAUUUGAUUUCUCCAAAACUUUUCCUUUUUCUUCAUCUUUAAAAUUGCAGAUUAGUUUAUUUUUAUUAGUUAAAUUCGUUUUUAUUAAAUUAGGUCAUAAAAAUCAAUCAUCUCAAAUUUCUAUUUUACAAUAAUCAAUUGGAAUUUGGUUUGCUUCGAAUUAGUUAAUAAUCCAUGUGGGGAACGAACUUGCAAGAUCCGUUUAUACCACAAUAACCUUGUCAUUCUUGCAAGUAAUAUAUGAGUUUUUAU
rnacentral:lncRNA from 1 species